ACGCUGGUGGUGAAAUUGGUAUACACGCUACCUUGAGGUGGUAGUGCCAUUACGGUGUGUGAGUUCGAGUCUCAUCCAGCGUA
rnacentral:tRNA from 1 species